GAGUUUGAUCCUGGCUCAGGAUGCACUCUAGCGGCAGGCUUAACACAUGCAAGUCGAGGGGUAACGGGGAAGCUUGCUUCCGCCGACGACCGGCGCACGGGUGCGUAACGCGUAUACAAUCUACCUUAUACUGGGGUAUAGCCUUUAGAAAUGAAGAUUAACCCCCCAUAGUCUCUUAGAGUGGCAUCACUUCUAGAGUAAAGGUUACGGUAUAAGAUGAGUAUGCGUUCUAUUAGUUUGUUGGUGUGGUAACGGCACACCAAGACUACGAUAGAUAGGGGCCCUGAGAGGGGGAUCCCCCACACUGGUACUGAGACACGGACCAGACUCCUACGGGAGGCAGCAGUGAGGAAUAUUGGACAAUGGAGGCAACUCUGAUCCAGCCAUGCCGCGUGCAGGAAGACUGCCCUAUGGGUUGUAAACUGCUUUUAUACAGGAAGAAACACCUCUACGUGUAGAGGCUUGACGGUACUGUAAGAAUAAGGAUCGGCUAACUCCGUGCCAGCAGCCGCGGUAAUACGGAGGAUCCAAGCGUUAUCCGGAAUCAUUGGGUUUAAAGGGUCCGUAGGUGGAUAAUUAAGUCAGAGGUGAAACCUUGCAGCUCAACUGUAAAAUUGCCUUUGAAACUGGUUAUCUUGAGUUAUUAUGAAGUAGUUAGAAUAUGUAGUGUAGCGGUGAAAUGCAUAGAUAUUACAUAGAAUACCAAUUGCGAAGGCAGAUUACUAAUAAUCAACUGACACUGAUGGACGAAAGCGUGGGUAGCGAACAGGAUUAGAUACCCUGGUAGUCCACGCCGUAAACGAUGGUUACUAGCUGUUUGGACUUCGGUCUGAGUGGCUAAGCGAAAGUGAUAAGUAACCCACCUGGGGAGUACGUUCGCAAGAAUGAAACUCAAAGGAAUUGACGGGGGCCCGCACAAGCCGUGGAGCAUGUGGUUUAAUUCGAUGAUACGCGAGGAACCUUACCAGGGCCUAAAUGUAAGUUGCAUUAGUUAGAGAUAGCUAUUUCUUCGGACCACUUACAAGGUGCUGCAUGGUUGUCGUCAGCUCGUGCCGUGAGGUGUCAGGUUAAGUCCUAUAACGAGCGCAACCCCUGUUGUUAGUUGCCAGCGAGUCAUGUCGGGAACUCUAGCAAGACUGCCAGUGCAAACUGUGAGGAAGGUGGGGAUGACGUCAAAUCAUCACGGCCCUUACGUCCUGGGCUACACACGUGCUACAAUGGUAGGUACAGAGAGCAGCCACUGCGCGAGCAGGAGCGAAUCUAUAAAACCUAUCACAGUUCGGAUCGGAGUCUGCAACUCGACUCCGUGAAGCUGGAAUCGCUAGUAAUCGGAUAUCAGCCAUGAUCCGGUGAAUACGUUCCCGGGCCUUGUACACACCGCCCGUCAAGCCAUGGAAGUUGGAAGUGCCUGAAGUCCGUCACCGUAAGGAGCGGCCUAGGGUAAAGUCGAUAACUAGGGCUAAGUCGUAACAAGGUAACC
rnacentral:rRNA from 1 species